rnacentral:rRNA from 1 species
UACGAAGGGGGCUAGCGUUGUUCGGAAUUACUGGGCGUAAAGCGCACGUAGGCGGGUCGUUAAGUCAGGGGUGAAAUCCCAGAGCUCAACUCUGGAACUGCCUUUGAUACUGGCGACCUAGAGUCCGGAAGAGGUUAGUGGAAUUCCCAGUGUAGAGGUGAAAUUCGUAGAUAUUGGGAAGAACACCAGUGGCGAAGGCGGCUAACUGGUCCCGGUAC